rnacentral:rRNA from 1 species
GGAUCGGAGUCUGCAACUCGACUCCGUGAAGCUGGAUUCGCUAGUAAUCGCGCAUCAGCCAUGGCGCGGUGAAUACGUUCCCGGGCCUUGUACACACCGCCCGUCAAGCCAUGGGAGCCGGGGGUACCUGAAGUCCGUAACCGCGAGGAUCGGCCUAGGGUAAAACUGGUGACUGGGGCUAAGUCGUAACAAGGUAUC